rnacentral:rRNA from 1 species
GCCCUGGCAGUCAGAGGCGAUGAAGGACGUGCUAAUCUGCGAUAAGCGUCGGUAAGGUGAUAUGAACCGUUAUAACCGGCGAUUUCCGAAUGGGGAAACCCAGUGUGUUUCGACACACUAUCAUUAACUGAAUCCAUAGGUUAAUGAGGCGAACCGGGGGAACUGAAACAUCUAAGUACCCCGAGGAAAAGAAAUCAACCGAGAUUCCCCCAGUAGCGGCGAGCGAACGGGGAGCAGCCCAGAGCCUGAAUCAGUGUGUGUGUUAGUGGAAGCGUCUGGAAAGGCGCGCGAUACAGGGUGACAGCCCCGUACACAAAAAUGCACAUACUGUGAGCUCGAUGAGUAGGGCGGGACACGUGGUAUCCUGUCUGAAUAUGGGGGGACCAUCCUCCAAGGCUAAAUACUCCUGACUGACCGAUAGUGAACCAGUACCGUGAGGGAAAGGCGAAAAGAACCCCGGCGAGGGGAGUGAAAAAGAACCUGAAACCGUGUACGUACAAGCAGUGGGAGCACGCUUAGGCGUGUGACUGCGUACCUUUUGUAUAAUGGGUCAGCGACUUAUAUUCUGUAGCAAGGUUAACCGAAUAGGGGAGCCGAAGGGAAACCGAGUCUUAACUGGGCGUUAAGUUGCAGGGUAUAGACCCGAAACCCGGUGAUCUAGCCAUGGGCAGGUUGAAGGUUGGGUAACACUAACUGGAGGACCGAACCGACUAAUGUUGAAAAAUUAGCGGAUGACUUGUGGCUGGGGGUGAAAGGCCAAUCAAACCGGGAGAUAGCUGGUUCUCCCCGAAAGCUAUUUAGGUAGCGCCUCGUGAAUUCAUCUCCGGGGGUAGAGCACUGUUUCGGCAAGGGGGUCAUCCCGACUUACCAACCCGAUGCAAACUGCGAAUACCGGAGAAUGUUAUCACGGGAGACACACGGCGGGUGCUAACGUCCGUCGUGAAGAGGGAAACAACCCAGACCGCCAGCUAAGGUCCCAAAGUCAUGGUUAAGUGGGAAACGAUGUGGGAAGGCCCAGACAGCCAGGAUGUUGGCUUAGAAGCAGCCAUCAUUUAAAGAAAGCGUAAUAGCUCACUGGUCGAGUCGGCCUGCGCGGAAGAUGUAACGGGGCUAAACCAUGCACCGAAGCUGCGGCAGCGACGCUGAUGCGUUGUUGGGUAGGGGAGCGUUCUGUAAGCCUGUGAAGGUGUGCUGUGAGGCAUGCUGGAGGUAUCAGAAGUGCGAAUGCUGACAUAAGUAACGAUAAAGCGGGUGAAAAGCCCGCUCGCCGGAAGACCAAGGGUUCCUGUCCAACGUUAAUCGGGGCAGGGUGAGUCGACCCCUAAGGCGAGGCCGAAAGGCGUAGUCGAUGGGAAACAGGUUAAUAUUCCUGUACUUGGUGUUACUGCGAAGGGGGGACGGAGAAGGCUAUGUUGGCCGGGCGACGGUUGUCCCGGUUUAAGCGUGUAGGCUGGUUUUCCAGGCAAAUCCGGAAAACUAAGGCUGAGGCGUGAUGACGAGGCACUACGGUGCUGAAGCAACAAAUGCCCUGCUUCCAGGAAAAGCCUCUAAGCAUCAGGUAACAUCAAAUCGUACCCCAAACCGACACAGGUGGUCAGGUAGAGAAUACCAAGGCGCUUGAGAGAACUCGGGUGAAGGAACUAGGCAAAAUGGUGCCGUAACUUCGGGAGAAGGCACGCUGAUAUGUAGGUGAAGCGACUUGCUCGUGGAGCUGAAAUCAGUCGAAGAUACCAGCUGGCUGCAACUGUUUAUUAAAAACACAGCACUGUGCAAACACGAAAGUGGACGUAUACGGUGUGACGCCUGCCCGGUGCCGGAAGGUUAAUUGAUGGGGUCAGCGCAAGCGAAGCUCUUGAUCGAAGCCCCGGUAAACGGCGGCCGUAACUAUAACGGUCCUAAGGUAGCGAAAUUCCUUGUCGGGUAAGUUCCGACCUGCACGAAUGGCGUAAUGAUGGCCAGGCUGUCUCCACCCGAGACUCAGUGAAAUUGAACUCGCUGUGAAGAUGCAGUGUACCCGCGGCAAGACGGAAAGACCCCGUGAACCUUUACUAUAGCUUGACACUGAACAUUGAGCCUUGAUGUGUAGGAUAGGUGGGAGGCUUUGAAGUGUGGACGCCAGUCUGCAUGGAGCCGACCUUGAAAUACCACCCUUUAAUGUUUGAUGUUCUAACGUUGACCCGUGAUCCGGGUUGCGGACAGUGUCUGGUGGGUAGUUUGACUGGGGCGGUCUCCUCCUAAAGAGUAACGGAGGAGCACGAAGGUUGGCUAAUCCUGGUCGGACAUCAGGAGGUUAGUGCAAUGGCAUAAGCCAGCUUGACUGCGAGCGUGACGGCGCGAGCAGGUGCGAAAGCAGGUCAUAGUGAUCCGGUGGUUCUGAAUGGAAGGGCCAUCGCUCAACGGAUAAAAGGUACUCCGGGGAUAACAGGCUGAUACCGCCCAAGAGUUCAUAUCGACGGCGGUGUUUGGCACCUCGAUGUCGGCUCAUCACAUCCUGGGGCUGAAGUAGGUCCCAAGGGUAUGGCUGUUCGCCAUUUAAAGUGGUACGCGAGCUGGGUUUAGAACGUCGUGAGACAGUUCGGUCCCUAUCUGCCGUGGGCGCUGGAGAACUGAGGGGGGCUGCUCCUAGUACGAGAGGACCGGAGUGGACGCAUCACUGGUGUUCGGGUUGUCAUGCCAAUGGCACUGCCCGGUAGCUAAAUGCGGAAGAGAUAAGUGCUGAAAGCAUCUAAGCACGAAACUUGCCCCGAGAUGAGUUCUCCCUGACUCCUUGAGAGUCCUGAAGGAACGUUGAAGACGACGACGUUGAUAGGCCGGGUGUGUAAGCGCAGCGAUGCGUUGAGCUAACCGGUACUAAUGAACCGUGAGGCUUAACCUUACAAC